GUCUGAACUAAACACUCAGAAUAACAAUGUUACUCCUCUUAGUUUUCUUCAGUAUCACUGAUAUUGCAGAGGCUGCUGACAACAGCAUUAAAUCAAACCAAACUAAUGUAUUUUCAACUGAAGGCAGCAACACCACGCUGUCCUGCACAUACACUGGAUAUACUGGAUCAGAGACCAGUCUCCACUGGUAUCGACAAAAACCUGGAUCAAGACCUGAGUUUCUGCUGCUGAUUCUUGAAAGCAGUGGAAGUAUCAUACACACUCAACCCCCUCAUCAACGACUGUCCAUCAAACUUGAUAAAACGAAUAAGAAAGUGGAUCUGUUCAUCUCCUCUGCUGCAGUGACAGACUCUGCACUGUACUACUGCGCUCUG